GACGAACGCUGGCGGCGUGCUUAACACAUGCAAGUCGAACGGAAAGGCCCUGCUUUUGUGGGGUGCUCGAGUGGCGAACGGGUGAGUAACACGUGAGUAACCUGCCCUUGACUUUGGGAUAACUUCAGGAAACUGGGGCUAAUACCGGAUAGGAGCUCCUGCUGCAUGGUGGGGGUUGGAAAGUUUCGGCGGUUGGGGAUGGUCUCGCGGCUUAUCAGCUUGUUGGUGGGGUAGGGGCUUUCCAAGGCUUUGACGGGUAGCCGGCCUGGGAGGGUGACCGGCCACAUUGGGACUGAGGUACGGCCCAGACUCCUACGGGAGGCAGCAGUGGGGAAUAUUGCACAAUGGGCGGAAGCCUGAUGCAGCAACGCCGCGUGCGGGAUGACGGCCUUCGGGUUGUAAACCGCUUUCGCCUGUGACGAAGCGUGAGUGACGGUAAUGGGUAAAGAAGCACCGGCUAACUACGUG
rnacentral:rRNA from 1 species